UCGGGAAUUUUGGGCAAUGGGGGAAACCCUGACCCAGCAACGCCGCGUGAGUGACGAAGGCCUUAGGGUUGUAAAGCUCUUUUGGCGGGGACGAUAAUGACGGUACCCGCAGAAUAAGCUCCGGCUAACUUCGUGCCAGCAGCCGCGGUAAUACGAAGGGAGCUAGCGUUGUUCGGAAUCACUGGGCGUAAAGCGCACGUAGGCGGAUUAUUAAGUCAGGGGUGAAAUCCCGGGGCUCAACCUCGGAACUGCCUCUGAUACUGAUAGUCUCGAGUCCGGAAGAGGUGGGUGGAAUUCCUAGUGUAGAGGUGAAAUUCGUAGAUAUUAGGAAGAACACCGGUGGCGAAGGCGGCCCACUGGCUCGAUACUGACGCUGAGGUGCGAAAGCGUGGGGAGCAAACAGGAUUAGAUACCCAUGUAGUCCCUGAGCGGGCUGGCAAGGCGCAU
rnacentral:rRNA from 1 species